GCUGUGAUGGCUGAGAGGUUAAGGCGCUGGACUUGGAACCAAUGGGGUUUCCAAGAGGUUCGAACUCUGCUCACAGCG
rnacentral:tRNA from 1 species